AACCCAAAAGAUCGAAUGGGGAGAUUCAUCGUCAGCGAUGCUGGUACGUGUGCGGUUCGCGAUGCCGGAGACCUCGGUCUCGCGGCACGCGUCCGCAUGUUUUUUAUUGCCUGGUAUCGUCGGCGUGCACUUCUCCCCUAGUAGGACGUCGCGACCCGUUGGAUGUCGGUCUACGGCCCGGGUGGGUGCCUGUCUCGUGUGCGCCUCACGGCGUCACUGCGGGGCAGAUCCCCGGCUGCUCGACCUGCUGCCCGGCGGUACUCGCACGGUAUCUGGCCGCAAGUAUUCGAACUGCGUCCAGCCCGUCGCAAGCGAGGCAAGUGUUUCCCGRAUGUACGGAUCUAAUGCCGUCAUCGGGCCUGGCCAGCUGUUGGUUGACGGUGUCCUAGGACUGGCUAUAACAAUUAUGAUACCGGUCAGCGACGCUACCGCUUUGGGUACUUUCAGGACCCGUCUUGAAACACGGA
rnacentral:rRNA from 1 species